rnacentral:rRNA from 1 species
AAAUUGAAGAGUUUGAUCAUGGCUCAGAUUGAACGCUGGCGGCAGGCCUAACACAUGCAAGUCGAACGGUAGCACAGAGAGCUUGCUCUCGGGUGACGAGUGGCGGACGGGUGAGUAAUGUCUGGGAAACUGCCUGAUGGAGGGGGAUAACUACUGGAAACGGUGGCUAAUACCGCAUAACGUCGCAAGACCAAAGAGGGGGACCUUCGGGCCUCUUGCCAUCAGAUGUGCCCAGAUGGGAUUAGCUUGUUGGUGAGGUAACGGCUCACCAAGGCGACGAUCCCUAGCUGGUCUGAGAGGAUGACCAGCCACACUGGAACUGAGACACGGUCCAGACUCCUACGGGAGGCAGCAGUGGGGAAUAUUGCACAAUGGGCGCAAGCCUGAUGCAGCCAUGCCGCGUGUAUGAAGAAGGCCUUCGGGUUGUAAAGUACUUUCAGCGGGGAGGA